CAAGAAACCGGCACUAAUACACCGGAUCCCAUCAGAACUCCGCAGUUAAGCGUGAUUGGACGAGAGUAGUACUAGAAUGGGUGACCUCCCGGGAAAUCCUCCUGUUGC
rfam:Brassica oleracea var. oleracea cultivar TO1000 chromosome C9, whole genome shotgun sequence